AUGGAGCGGGGCGGGCGGGAGAGGGCAGCGCCAGAUUUUUGUGCUGGGGCUCCGGGCUGUGAGUACGAAACUCAGUAUUUCGGCAGGGGCACCCGCCUGACCGUGCUAGGUAAGCCGGGGUGCGCGGGGGCGCCGGGGAGCGCGGUGGGGCCGGGGCAUGGCGGGCCUGUUUUUGUGCUGCGCCGGGGGGCUGUGAGCCAAAAUACCCAGUACUUCGGCGCGGGGACCCGGCUGUCGGUGCUAGUGGCCGCGGGGUCGGGAGGGAAGGCGGCGGCCCCAGGGCCCUUCCCGGCACGGCACCUGGCUGGCUUCCCGCGCUGGGUCCUGGCUGCGAGCCGGAGCGGGAAGCGGCUGGGGCGCCGCGGGGUUUGCGUGCGGGGCUGGGCCUCCGUGUAUGAGCAGUACUUCGGCGCCGGCACCAGGCUCACGGUCAUAGACAAACUGGAAAGGGUCAAACCUCCCACGGUCACAGUGUUUGAACCGUCAGAAGCAGAGACCUCCCGCACCCAGAAGGCCACGCUCGUGUGUCUGGCCACGGGCUUCUACCCCGACCACGUGGAGCUGAGCUGGUGGGUGAAUGGGAAGGAGGUCCAGAAUGGGGUCAGCACGGACCCUCAGCCCUACAGGGAGCGGCCCAACGACAAUGGCUCCAACUACUGUCUGAGCAGCCGGCUGAGGGUCUCCUCCGCCUUCUGGCACAACCCUCGCAACCACUUUCGCUGCCAAGUCCAGUUCUACGGGCUUGGGGACGAGGACGAGUGGGACAACCCCACCCGGCCNAAACCCAUCACCCAGAACAUCAGUGCUGAGGCCUGGGGCAGAGCAGACUGUGGCUUCACGUCCGUGUCCUAUCAGCAGGGUAUCCUGUCUGCCACCAUCCUCUAUGAGAUCCUGCUGGGGAAGGCCACCCUGUACGCUCUGCUGGUCAGCAUCCUGGUGCUCAGGGCCAAGGUCAAGAGGAAGGGUUCCUGAGACCAGCUCUGAAAGUGCACCCUGAGUUGCUCACCCGCCUCGUCUAGAUUCUCCUUGACGUGCUUCCAGGCUGCGCUUCGAAAAGCCACCUCCCCCUCUCAUCUCUUUCCUGCGGGGUUAUCUGUCCCUUUGCUCUGCUUCCCUGCAGACUGAAACAGACUGAACAAUAAAUCUGUCCUGCGGGCCUUGCUGUGUCUCA